UUUGAUUCUUUGUUUCCUUUAGUUUUCAUUCUCUCCUCUUCAGAACAAGAGUAGAUGGUUCGGUGUAUGCAAAUAUCACAGUUCCAGGUAACUUGAAGGAGCAGUUUGGAUUUAGAAACCCACACCUGUGACUGAUGGGAGUGGUGGACAAAUACCCACAACUUCCUCUCUCUACUCUUGGCUGAGGACAAUUCUGAAGUGAGCCCUACACUGUCUCCCAGAUGCAGUCUGACCUGAGCCACGAAGAAGUGCAGAGUCCCCAAGAGGCCAGAGAGCUCACGUCUGGUUAGAGUCAGGGUGUUUGAUGGGAAGAUGAAAGGAGGAGCUGGCAUCUGAGGAGAACCAUGGAAAGGAGGGGAGGCUGGACCGGGCUUCACCUCACACCGUGCAGGAAUGGCCACAAAGUCCUGAUGAAGAGCAGCCCCUGCGGGACGUCCCUGACAAACAGCCCUACAGCUUCUGCUUGAGUCUCCCCAGCAUGGGGAACUCACCACCUUCCAAGGCACCUGUGAGUACUAUUCUUGCUAGUGAUGAGUUGAAACCUGCUAUCUUCUCUCCCUCUGGGUUCUCAAGAGGUCAACCUGCCUCCCAAGAAGAUUCCACAGUUCUA
rnacentral:lncRNA from 1 species